ACGCGCGGAACCUUACCAGGUCUUGACAUCCUCUGACCACCCUAGAGAUAGAAGGUUCCCCUUCGGGGGACGGAGUGACAGGUGGUGCAUGGUUGUCGUCAGCUCGUGUCGUGAGAUGUUGGGUUAAGUCCCGCAACGAGCGCAACCCUUGACCUUAGUUGCCAGCAUUUAGUUGGGCACUCUAAGGUGACUGCCGGUGACAAACCGGAGGAAGGUGGGGAUGACGUCAAAUCAUCAUGCCCCUUAUGACCUGGGCUACACACGUGCUACAAUGGAUGGUACAAAGGGCUGCAAGACUGCGAAGUCAAGCCAAUCCCAUAAAACCAUUCUCAGUUCGGAUUGCAGGCUGCAACUCGCCUGCAUGAAGCCGGAAUCGCUAGUAAUCGCGGAUCAGCAUGCCGCGGUGAAUACGUUCCCGGGCCUUGCACACACCGCCCGU
rnacentral:rRNA from 1 species